GGGUUGUGAGGUUAAGCGACUAAGCGUACACGGUGGAUGCCCUGGCAGUCAGAGGCGAUGAAGGGCGUGCUAAUCUGCGAUAAGCGCCGGUAAGGUGAUAUGAACCGUUAUAACCGGCGAUACCCGAAUGGGGAAACCCAGUGUGACUCGUCACACUAUCAUUAACUGAAUCCAUAGGUUAAUGAGGCGAACCGGGGGAACUGAAACAUCUAAGUACCCCGAGGAAAAGAAAUCAACCGAGAUUCCCCCAGUAGCGGCGAGCGAACGGGGAGGAGCCCAGAGCCUGAAUCAGCAUGUGUGUUAGUGGAAGCGUCUGGAAAGGCGCGCGAUACAGGGUGACAGCCCCGUACACAAAAGCGCAUGUGCUGUGAGCUCGAUGAGUAGGGCGGGACACGUGGUAUCCUGUCUGAAUAUGGGGGGACCAUCCUCCAAGGCUAAAUACUCCUGACUGACCGAUAGUGAACCAGUACCGUGAGGGAAAGGCGAAAAGAACCCCGGCGAGGGGAGUGAAAAAGAACCUGAAACCGUGUACGUACAAGCAGUGGGAGCACAGGUUUACCUGUGUGACUGCGUACCUUUUGUAUAAUGGGUCAGCGACUUAUAUUCUGUAGCAAGGUUAACCGAAUAGGGGAGCCGGAGGGAAACCGAGUCUUAAUUGGGCGUUAAGUUGCAGGGUAUAGACCCGAAACCCGGUGAUCUAGCCAUGGGCAGGUUGAAGGUUGGGUAACACUAACUGGAGGACCGAACCGACUAAUGUUGAAAAAUUAGCGGAUGACCUGUGGCUGGGGGUGAAAGGCCAAUCAAACCGGGAGAUAGCUGGUUCUCCCCGAAAGCUAUUUAGGUAGCGCCUCGUGAAUUCAUCUCCGGGGGUAGAGCACUGUUUCGGCUAGGGGGCCAUCCCGGCUUACCAACCCGAUGCAAACUGCGAAUACCGGAGAAUGUUAUCACGGGAGACACACGGCGGGUGCUAACGUCCGUCGUGAAGAGGGAAACAACCCAGACCGCCAGCUAAGGUCCCAAAGUCAUGGUUAAGUGGGAAACGAUGUGGGAAGGCCCAGACAGCCAGGAUGUUGGCUUAGAAGCAGCCAUCAUUUAAAGAAAGCGUAAUAGCUCACUGGUCGAGUCGGCCUGCGCGGAAGAUGUAACGGGGCUAAACCAUGCACCGAAGCUGCGGCAGCGACACUGUGUGUUGUUGGGUAGGGGAGCGUUCUGUAAGCCUGUGAAGGUGGCCUGUGAGGGUUGCUGGAGGUAUCAGAAGUGCGAAUGCUGACAUAAGUAACGAUAAAGCGGGUGAAAAGCCCGCUCGCCGGAAGACCAAGGGUUCCUGUCCAACGUUAAUCGGGGCAGGGUGAGUCGACCCCUAAGGCGAGGCCGAAAGGCGUAGUCGAUGGGAAACAGGUUAAUAUUCCUGUACUUGGUGUUACUGCGAAGGGGGGACGGAGAAGGCUAUGUUGGCCGGGCGACGGUUGUCCCGGUUUAAGCGUGUAGGUGUGUG
rnacentral:rRNA from 1 species